rnacentral:rRNA from 1 species
AACGUAGGUGGCAAGCGUUAUCCGGAUUUACUGGGCGUAAAGGGCGCGUAGGCGGAUCUUUAAGUCGGGGGUGAAAGCCCAGGGCUCAACCCUGGAAUUGCCUUCGAUACUGGAGAUCUUGAGACCGGAAGAGGUAAGUGGAACUGCGAGUGUAGAGGUGAAAUUCGUAGAUAUUCGCAAGAACACCAGUGGCGAAGGCGGCUUACUGGUCCGGUUCUGACGCUGAGGCGCGAAAGCGUGGGGAGCAAACAGG